GCGAUGUUAGCUUGGUUAUUAAAUAGGUGAGUUGUGGAUAAUGCUGCAAUGAACCACUUGAUUUACUACUUGUGUGGUCGUCAGGUCGGUUGUUUAUAGAAAGUUCUGAUGCUUCCAAAUUGCAGGUACUGUACACUGAAAGCAAAGCGAAGCUUACGAAUUACACAGAGCAAUGGAUCCAGGUGCGAUGGUGGGUUCAUCGCUGUGGCCAUAGCAGGUCAGGAGGAUGACGCCAAGUAUGCAACAACCUGAAGAUGGCGUGUUCCCGAACGUUGGUUGAAUACUUUGCAACAAUAGACCUCAAUGGCACCGCAUUGACGGUCUUGUUAGUGCUAACACAACAAAAUAAACGCCUAAUUUGCCUAAAAGCAGUCCGUUGUUUGGGUACGGCUAGUUUGUUAGGGCCACGCAACUAUGUAAGCAUCUCAGUUUGCUAUUCAAGUUCUAAAAUUGCCCAGGUCGAGCAGUUUUCUCAA